CCUANGGGCGGCAGCAGUGGGGAAUCUUGCACAAUGGGGGCAACCCUGAUGCAGCGACGCCGCGUGAGCGAUGAAGCCCUUCGGGGUGUAAAGCUCUUUCGGCAGGAACGAUAAUGACGGUACCUGCAAAAGAAGCUGCGGCUAACUACGUGCCAGCAGCCGCGGUAAUACGUAGGCAGCAAGCGUUGUUCGGAGUUACUGGGCGUAAAGAGUGCGUAGGCGGUCCUUUAAGUUCGGUGUGAAAUCUCCCGGCUCAACUGGGAGGGUGCGCCGGAAACUGGAGGGCUUGAGUAUGGGAGAGGAAAGCGGAAUUCCUGGUGUAGCGGUGAAAUGCGUAGAUAUCAGGAGGAACACCUGCGGUGUAGACGGCUUUCUGGACCAUGACUGACGCUGAGGCACGAAAGCGUGGGGAGCAAACAGGAUUAGAUACCCCUNUANUC
rnacentral:rRNA from 1 species